rnacentral:rRNA from 1 species
AUUGAACGCUGGCGGAAUGCUUUACACAUGCAAGUCGAACGGCAGCACGGACUUCGGUCUGGUGGCGAGUGGCGAACGGGUGAGUAAUGUAUCGGAACGUGCCCAGUCGUGGGGGAUAACGUAGUGAAAAUUACGCUAAUACCGCAUACGAUCUAUGGAUGAAAGCGGGGGAUCGCAAGACCUCGCGCGAUUGGAGCGGCCGAUAUCAGAUUAGGUAGUUGGUGGGGUAAAGGCCCACCAAGCCAACGAUCUGUAGCUGGUCUGAGAGGACGACCAGCCACACGGGAACUGAGACACGGUCCAGACUCCUACGGGAGGCAGCAGUGGGGAAUUUUGGACAAUGGGCGAAAGCCUGAUCCAGCCAUUCCGCGUGCAGGAUGAAGGCCCUCGGGCUGUAAACUGCUUUUGUACAGAACGAAAAGGUUUCUACUAAUACUAGGAGCUCAUGACGGUACUGUAAGAAUAAGCACCGGCUAACUACGUGCCAGCAGCCGCGGUAA